rnacentral:rRNA from 1 species
GACGGGAGGGUGCUAGCGUUGUUCGGAAUCACUGGGCGUAAAGGGCGCGUAGGCGGCCUUGCAAGUCGGUUGGUGAAAGCCCGGGGCUCAACCCCGGAGGUGCGGCCGAGACUGCAGGGCUGGAGGCCGGAAGAGGAGGGUGGAAUACCCAGUGUAGAGGUGAAAUUCGUAGAUAUUGGGUGGAACACCGGUGGCGAAAGCGGCUCUCUGGUCCGGACCUGACGCUGAGGCGCGAAAGCGUGGGGAGCAAACAGG